UACGGGGGGGGCAAGCGUUGUUCGGAAUUACUGGGCGUAAAGAGCGCGUAGGCGGCUCGUUAAGUGUGAAGUGAAAUCUCCAGGGCUCAACCCGGAAACUGCUUCGCAUACUGGCGAGCUGGAGUGACGAAGAGGUUUGUGGAAUUCCUGGUGUAGCGGUGAAAUGCGUUGAUAUCAGGAGGAACACCAGUGGCGAAGGCGGCCUUCUGGGAUGCUCCUGACGCUCAGACACGAAAGCUAGGGGAGCGAACGGG
rnacentral:rRNA from 1 species